ensembl:misc_RNA Y_RNA Y RNA
GGCUAGUCAGAGUACACUGGUGUUUACAACUAAAUGAUCACAACCAGUUACAGAUUCCUUUGUUCCUUCUCCAUUCCCACUGUCUCACUCAAUUAGCCUUAA